UACGUAGGUGGCAAGCGUUUGUCCGGAUUUAUUGGGUUUAAAGGGUGCGUAGGCGGUCCUAUAAGUCAGUGCUGAAAUAUCCCGGCUUAACCGGGAGGGUGGCAUUGAUACUGCAGGACUUGAGUGAAGUCGAGGUAGGCGGAAUUGACGGUGUAGCGGUGAAAUGCGUAGAUAUUGACAGGAACACCAGUGGCGCAAGCGGCUAUCUGGACCAACAUCGACGCUGAGGCACGAAAGCGUGGGGAUCAAACAGG
rnacentral:rRNA from 1 species